UUGAACUGAAGAGUUUGAUCAUGGCUCAGAUUGAACGCUGGCGGCAGGCCUAACACAUGCAAG
rnacentral:rRNA from 1 species